UGCCUGGGAUGCCACGCCCGGAGUCGGCUGGUGGUGGAAGAGCUCAGUUUCAAACGUCCGACCCUUUCCCUAAUUAGGCACCGCAGGCCUCCCUUCCUCUUUGCGGAGGACCGGCAGUAGGAGCGUCCACUCGGCCCCCUGCGAGGUGUUCCAGGUGGGCGAUAUCGGCCCAGGAAGGCUGGAGAAUACCACUGGCUCAACCUUCAAAAUAAAUCCAGAAUCCAAUGACUUCUCAUUGCUGCCACCAUCGGGGCCAGGCUGCCCGCACCCUGACCUGCACUGCUGGGUAAGUCUCUCCUAACUGGCCUCCCUUCCUCCUCGCCCUCCUUUGGCCUGUUCUCAACAUGGCAGCCAGAGGGAUCCCAGUGGGACCUGGGUCAGGCUCUGCCACUUCUCUGUUCCCAAACACAAGGUGCCAAUGGCCCCACCAUGAUGACAAGGCCCCACUCCCUCUCUGGCCACUCUUCCCUCCUCUCCGCCCACUCUACUUAGGGCGCACUGGCCUCCUGCCUCUGCCUAUGUUGUCGUUCACCCUUUCAUCUCCUUUAUCGCAACGUCGCCGAACCCUGCCACUCCAGCUGGCCCUCCCUGCCUCCUCUGUCUCUGCUGCGCCCACCACCAUUUUACGUACAGUGGCUUGCUCAGUGUGCUGGUCACCUGCCUCUACUGGCACGUUAGCUUACGAGGGCAGGGGCCUCGUCUGUCCUGCUCCCUGCUGUGUCCCAGCCCCAGGAUCCAUGGCAGACGGGCUGUGCGAGUGACUGAAUGGAUGCACAGUCCACUUGGGCAGCACCUGGGCAGGCCGUCAGCAGCAACAGGCUCCCCUGACCAUCGGCCUGGCCCUGUCUUCUCGCGGGGAAGGCCGGGCUCUCCCGGCUGGGCAGGCACACUGCCCGCUGCCAGAACACACACACUGAAGGGCUCACUGGCCCGCUAUGAAGCAGCAAGAUGAGGACCGAUCUCUCAGCCUCCUUUUCCAGGGACCCAGGUUCAUAACUGCUCUGCCAAGAACGCUUCAGGGCUGACGGAGCCCACCUGCGAGUGCCGGGCUUGCCCAGACACGCCAGGAGUGCUGACUCUGGGGUUUCUGCAUUUCCUCUGUACUUCCGGGAGAAAGGAGAUGAGCGCAUUUCGAGGCAGUUCCUGUUUUAGUGCUCAGGCUCGGUCGGCACACAGGCUGGGAAGGCGGCUCAACCCCGGCCGGGGGGGCGAGUCUGGGUCUCACGCGAGACUCUGCUGAGGGUUCCUGUUCUGAGCAGCAGAGAGGGAGACGGGCGUGUGGCCAGUGCUGCUCCUGGGCGAGCCACUUUGGUGAGGACAAAGCACAGCCUUUGGGGUCAGAACAUCCACCUUAGUUUCUCAGCUCUGCUCCCUAACUGGCUGUGUCGUCUUGAGCAAGUCACCUGGCCCCUUUGAUACCUAGUUUCUCUUCUUUGUUUUAUUUAUUUUUAUGGGCUUUUAUAUACUGAGUAUACACACAUUCAGAAAAGUAUGUAAGGCAUCAACCUGCAGAUGAGCACGUUUACUGUAGAAGGGACACCUAUGUAACUACUGCCCAAGUCAAGCUAGAGAACAUUCCAGAAUGUUCUCUCCCCAACCUCCUCUUAACCUCUUCCCUCCUCCCUACUAUCCUGACUUUCAGGGCAUUCCUUUCUUUGCUUACCUUUAUAUUUUUGCUGCCUGUCUAUCCAUAAAUAUGGUUUACUUCUACCCUGUAUUUCAACUUUAUCUAAAUAGAAUAGCACAGCACGUUUUGGGGCUUGUCUGUUUAGCUUCUUUAGUCCCACACUGUUUUUAAGAUCCAUGUGUGCUGUGGGUGGAGCUGUAGUUGAUCCCUUCUUGUCACAGUUUCCCAGGGCAGGACCGACCUGCAGUCAUGCACGCACUGCGCUGUUGCUGGGCACGCGGGUUGGCAUCAGGCCAUCUCAGUAGGCUUCCGUGAAUGCCCGUGUGUCCAAGUCCCCUGGCAUACCUGUGCACAGGCUUCUAUUUGGGACACGUCUUGUGUGGAGUUGCUGGGACACAGGUGAGCACGGCAUCGACCUCAGCAGACAGUGCCACGCAAUUCCCCCAGCAAUAUGUGCACGUGUCUGUCGCUCUUUCUUCAUCGUCACUCGAAACCAUCUGUCUUUUCACUUAGUCAUGCUGGUGGGUGAGCAGAAGUAUCGCGUUGUGGUUUAACUAGCCUGAUUGCCAACGAGGCUGAGCACUGUUACCUAUGUUCACUGGUUCUGAGGGUUUCUUCUUGGGGAAGUUCAAGGCUCUUGCCCAAGGUCUGUUGGCUUCUCUGUCUGUGCAGGAGUUUGGGGAGCAAGUCGUCUGAUGGCCGUGCACGCUGCAAACUCUUCCAACGUGCAGCUUGUCUUUUCCUUCUCCUAAUCUGCUUUUUAAAGAACAGAUGCUCAUUUUCUGUCAUACCAUUUAUCGAUCUUCUCCUAGUAGCUUAGUGCUUUUUAUAACUCAUUUACAAAACCCUUCUCUACUCCAACAUCAUGACGACAAUGUUCUCCUUUCUGUGGUGCUGAAGGCGCCACCUGUCAUAAAUCACAGCCCAGAUCCAUAGGAGCCUGCUUCUGGGCUCCGUUUUGUUCACACCAAAGGAAGCCCAUGGAAGGCAGCAGAAAUCCCUGGGUGGGCUCAGGUCUGCCCAGGCCAUCAAGUUGGGGCAGAAGGUUAAAUGUGCUGGAAUCAUGAAGGGACAGGGAGGCCACAGCUGACAGCGUGACACCACUUAUGAGGUCCAGGAGAACAACUUAACUUUCAACAUCAUAUUGGCUCUUCUACACAAGGGAUUUAUGGUUCAAUGAAAGGUGGUCAGGCAGCCACAGUCCAGGAGGGGAGAGGAAAGCUGGUGAGGUGAGGACUGAAGGAAGGCGCUUGGCCAAAGGGGCUUGCAGACCAGAAGAUGGGCUCGGAGCCCCUGAAGGUGAGGGUCUGUCCCUGCCUGGACUGUGUGCCAAACACCGUGGGAAAGAGAGGAUGUCCAUGGCCGUGUGGUCAGAACCCGGCCAGCCUUCAGGCUCCUGGUGUCCACGCUGCCCACGGACUUGGUGUGUUGGCCCCCCAGCAUGGUGAUCCCAUCAUGAAAGCUGUUUUUACGGUGAUGUCACAGGGACGCCAGCCUGCGUAGGUAGCAGCUGUGUGGCUGGGAGCCAUCUUUCCUUUCUCACACCCCACGUCCAGACCGUGGGCAAAACCUGGCAGCCCCACCCGCCUUCAGGGUUGGGCUCAGAACACUCAACCCUGUUUCUCAGAAUGCCGUGCAGCGGACCACUCAGCAGCUGACCACACCUGCUCCACGGGACUGCCACCUGACUGCCCCAGCCUGCUGUGUCCACUCCUGUCCCUAUGUGGCCCUCUCCUCGUGUGGUGGCCAGAGGGCCCUUUUCUAAAUCUAAGUCGGGUCCUGCGUGUCCCCUACUCAGAGCCCUCCUGAUGCCCCACUGCAUUUAGAACAAAAUCUGAAAUCCCUGCCAUGGCCCUAAGGUCCAGGCAUCCUCCUUCCUGACCUCAGGCCUCCCACUCUCCUGUCUUCAUUCCCUCAGACCUACUGGCCUCCUGACAUGCCUCUUGUUCCCCUAGCAGGAUCCUACCACAGGGCCUUUGCACUUGCUAGUCCCUCUGUCGGGAUGCUCUUCCACAGCAUGGCCUGGCUGCCCCGGCGAGUUCGCAAUUUCUUAUUCUCCAUGGCGACACUAUCUAAGGGACCUGGUUUUGCCGGGAGAAGCAGCUGAUCUCGUGACCUGCCAGCCCGCAGUGAGUAUUCAAAGUGUGCUGCCCUGCUUUGGUCUCCUCCGACUCUCAGCUCUGGCUCUUUAACUCAUGGGGUGCAGCGGGCUCCACCUGGGCUUCCCCUUCCUGCAUCACAGCCUGGAAACUCUCUCGAGGCAGUCAGCUGGGGCGUGUGCAGGGCUUACCUCGUUUGUUUCCCGGCUCUUGGGGAGUCACAGUCCUUCACUGUCUCAUGUCCAGUAUCUUGCAAGCAUUGUUUCAUAUAUUUUGUCCUUUUUUUCCCCUUUGGUUUUUUUGGUGGGAGGGAUUUAUUGGUGGGAGGGUAAACAGGUCCCUGUCCUUCAUCUGGUCCAGAAGUAGAAGGCCUACUACCACGUCCCAGGGCCUCGCAUGCAUAACACACUGUGCAAGGCACUCACCACGCACAGUCACAGGCAGCCCUCGCAGACAGCCUAGGAAGGAGUGUGGCUGACCCCGUCUUACAGAGGAAGACAUUGGAGUUCAGAAAAGUUAAACAUUUAGCUCAUGAACAAACAAGUCGAGGGGCCAGGAUCCAAACCCAGGUGCGUUUCACUCAUGAACUCAUGCUCUUUUCUCAAUAUGGAAUCUCCUGUAUGCCAACGGAGGGGGUGUACGGAAGAUGAAAUGCAUUACUUCAGCAAACUUUGGGAUGUUCUACAGCAUUCAACUGUCUAUGCUUACUUAGAAAACAUUAGUAUUAACUUUAAAGAAAACAAAUUAUGCCAGCUAAUAUUUCAGAAAGAAUUUUGUAAUGAAAAUCAAGGGUCUGUUAUCACUGUUCCUAGUUUUCCCUUUUCUUUCCCACCCAUCCGUGUGCACCGUGUUUCCGCGCCCCUGGCAUGUCACAGGCACCUGAGGCCGUCUGGGCAGCGCUUAAAGCCCAACCUCUAAGGGUCAACCCUCGCUCCUCCACUGGAACUUCCCCUGGUGUCAGAGCCAGGCACCUGUAAGGUGAAGAGAGUGAGUACCUACCUUCUUGGGAGAAAGAAAUGGGACAGUCCCUUAGCUUAGCACCUGGGAGCUCGCACACACUCCCUAAAUGCUUGCUUUGAUUUUCAUAUUCAAUUAAACACAACACAGAGCAGGUUUUCCCAGCCUCAGCCCUGCUGACCUGUUGGGGCAGGCAAUCAUGAGGUGUGGGGGACUGUCCCGUGCACAGGACAUUUAGCAGCGUCCCUGGCCUCUACCCACUGCAUGCCAGUAGCAGCCUCUCCCUCUGUCCCAAGUUGUGACAACCAAAAAUGCACCAUCAUUCAUUUUAAAGGGAAGGAAACUAUAGCCCAGAAAUGUUUGGAAAUACAUCCCGGCUAUAACUGAACUGUGUAUGUAGGUACCAGUGAACUCGGACCCAGGCUCCCAUCCCAACCCCACUGUGCUCACGACUUCAGCCUCUGGCUGUUCAAGGGCACCAGCCCCAGGUGUCAGCUCUUCUUGUACCAGCCAGGCUUUCUCCCCUCCAAGUUCCUGAACUUAAGAACUUCCUCGAGAGUCCCUCUUUGCACCCAAGCAAAGGGCUUCAGGGGAAGGGGGUGGCUCCACAAUGCAGCAGAUCCUGGCAGGGCUUCUAGGACAAGAACUGGCUUUCAGCAUUUCCAUGUGAACAUUUUCAUUAUAAAAAGCAAAUGAUAUGCAUGGAAGCAUUUUGCAAGCCACUGUAACCCAUAGGGCUCAGUCCAUGAUGUUCAGGUAAAAAAGCUGUCACUCUAAUUAAUCAAAUUAUACAGUGGCUUUGCACUUCUCUACCAGGGCUUAUGAAAAAUAUUUUUUUAAAAAAACAGUCACUUCCUGCUGACAGGUGCAAAAAAGAAAAACAAAAACAAAAAAAUAACAGAAAAAAGUGGCAGCAGCAAUGUAUGGUUGUCACAGGGCCCACUGUCAUUCUACUGACUGCCGGGGCAGCAGGACCCCCGCACAGGGCCCACAGCUGACCCCCAGCAGUGAAGACCAGCUGUCCAGAUACAGCUGUCUAGAGCAACAUAGUACAAUGGAGAUAUAAUGUGAGCUACAUGUGCAGUUUUAAAUGUUUAAUAUAGCUACAUUAAAAAAGUAAAAAGGGGCUGGGCA